rnacentral:tRNA from 1 species
GCCUGGCUAGCUCAAUCGGUAGAGCGUGAGACUCUUAAAAUCUCAAGGCUGUGGGUUCAAGCCCCACGUCGGGCU